UACGUAGGGUGCAGGCGUUAAUCGGAAUUACUGGGCGUAAAGGGCGCGCAGGCGGCUGCUCAAGUCAGGCGUGAAAGGCCUGGGCUCAACCCGGGAAUUGCGCUUGAGACUGGGGCUGGCUUGAGUGCGGGAGAGGAUGGUGGAAUUCCCAGUGUAGAGGUGAAAUUCGUAGAUAUUGGGAAGAACACCGGUGGCGAAGGCGGCCAUCUGGACCGCAACUGACGCUGAGGCGCGGAAAGCGUGGGGAGCAAACAGGG
rnacentral:rRNA from 1 species